GCCAGAAUGGUCUGCCUGGUC
rnacentral:siRNA from 1 species